GAUAUUCGAGAUUGUUCCGGACCCUUAAGUGAGCUUACCGAACUGAACACUAAGGUGAAAGAAAAGUUUCAACAGUUAAAACACAGGAUCCAGGAGCUCGAGCAGUCAGCAAAGGAGCAAGACAAGGAGUCGGAGAAGCAGCUUCUACUUCAGGAAGUGGAGAACCACAAAAAGCAGAUGCUCAGCAACCAGACCUCAUGGCGGAAAGCCAAUCUUACCUGCAAGCUUGCCAUCGACAACCUGGAGAAAGCAGAACUUCUGCAAGGAGGAGACUCCUUAAGGCAGAGGUAUCGUCCGUAUGUCCUUCUGGGCUCUGACAUCUCAACACCACGGGGGGUGGACUUUUGUUUUCAUAACAUUUGUACUUUAUGUUUUUAUAUAAGUAAGUAAUUGUCUUUUCUGUUUUGAUACUGGGUCUCGUACAUCCCAGUCUGGUCUCAAACUUACUGUGAUCUUAUGUGUGCACCACCACACCAAGUUCGUGCAGUUCUGGAGAUCUAACCAAGGGCUUUGUGCAUACAAGACAAGCAUCUACCAACCAAGUUCCAUUCCCAGCCCUGACUAGAUUUGAUUAAACUUGGUUUGGGGUUU
rnacentral:lncRNA from 1 species